UUGUCCUACGGGGGGCAGCAGUAGGGAAUAUUGCUCAAUGGGGGGAACCCUGAAGCAGCAACGCCGCGUGGAGGAUGAAGGUUUUCGGAUUGUAAACUCCUUUUGUUAGAGAAGAUAAUGGCGGUAUCUAACGAAUAAGCACCGGCUAACUCCGGGCCAGCAGCCGCGGUAAUACGGGGGGUGGAAGCGUUACUCGGAAUCACUGGGCGUAAAGAGCGCGUAGGCGGGGUAGCAAGUCA
rnacentral:rRNA from 1 species